rnacentral:rRNA from 1 species
GAUGAACGCUGGCGGCGUGCCUAAUACAUGCAAGUCGAGCGAACGGACGAGAAGCUUGCUUUUCUGAUGUUAGCGGCGGACGGGUGAGUAACACGUGGAUAACCUACCUAUAAGACUGGGAUAACUUCGGGAAACCGGAGCUAAUACCGGAUAAUAUUUUGAACCGCAUGGUUCAAAAGUGAAAGACGGUCUUGCUGUCACUUAUAGAUGGAUCCGCGCUGCAUUAGCUAGUUGGUAAGGUAACGGCUUACCAAGGCAACGAUGCAUAGCCGACCUGAGAGGGUGAUCGGCCACACUGGAACUGAGACACGGUCCAGACUCCUACGGGAGGCAGCAGUAGGGAAUCGUCCGCAAUGGGCGAAAGCCUGACGGAGCAACGCCGCGUGAGUGAUGAAGGUCUUCGGAUCGUAAAACUCUGUUAUUAGGGAAGAACAGAUGUGUAAGUAACUGUGCACAUCUUGACGGUACCUAAUCAGAAAGCCACGGCUAACUAUGUG